rnacentral:misc_RNA from 1 species
AAUAUUCGAGCCAAAAGGAUAUAACUUCUAACGCUAGAUUCAGCCUCCAGAUUCAAAAGCUGUUUUGCAUAAUAAAGUGCAACAUCCAACUUCCUCUGCUCAGCAUUUUCUAGACUAAGCUGAAAAAUGAUAUGCGGAUCUCUUUCUCUCAUUAUUCUCCCAGCAGUUUCGAGUGCCUCAAGUGCUUCAGACUGCUUAGAAGUCCGCUCAGAAUCAGAAGGAGCUGAUCUGGACUGAAUUGACAAUAAAAGACCCAGUAAGCAGUUCGCAACACUUGCCAUCUGGCCACAUAUACCAUGCAAUUCAGAAAGUGCUUUGGAAGUGUAUGUCAUCCCUUCUUCAACACUAAUCAUAUUC